rnacentral:lncRNA from 1 species
ACAAGGGAAAGGCUGUGGAUGUGGUCUGCCUAAACUGCAAUAAGGCUUUUGAAACGAUUUGCCACAGCAUUCUUCCAGAGGAUCUGGCUGCUUACGGCCUGGAAAGAAUUAUGUUUCAAUGGGUUAAAAACUGGCUGUGUGGCUGGGUCCAAAGAUUUGUGGUGAAUGGAUAUAAAUGUAGCUGAGGGUGAGAGCAAGGCCAGUUUAUAGACCUGUGCCAGGUCUAUAAACUAAAGCUAAACCAAGGAAAGCAUGACCUGACAAAGCAAAAGAAAGCAUGGCCAGGGAAAGCAAAGCUGAGCAAGUCAAAGCAGAGCAAGGGAAUGUAGAAAAAGAAAAAGCAAAUCACUUCCAGGAAAGAAAAACAAAGAAGUCUGAGGCAAAGCAAAGCAAAGCAGGGGCAAGAACAGCAGAGGAAAGGAGGUACGGAAAAGCAAAGCAAUGCCAGGAAAACAAAGCAAGGCAAAGGAAAGCAUGGCCAGGCAAGGCAAAGCAGAACAAAAGAAAGUAGCAAAAGGAACAGCAAAGCAGUGCCAGGAAUACAAAGUAAAGCAAAACAAAGGUAAGCAUGGCCUGAAAACGGAAAGGAGAGCAGGAGCAGGUGAGGCAAAAGAGAGCAAGGCAAAGGUAAAAAAAGGAAAGCAUGGCCAGGCAAGGCAAAGCAGAACAAAAGAAAGUAGCAAAAGGAACAGCAAAGCAGUGCCAGGAAUACAAAGUAAAGCAAAAAAAAGGUAAGCAUGGCCUGAAAAUGGAAGUGAGAGCAGGAGCAGGUGAGGCAAAAGAGAGCAAGGCAAAGGUAAAAAAGGAAAACAUGGCCCCAUAAAGCAAACAAAAGCACGGCCAGGGAAGGCAAAGCAGAGCUAAGGAAAGUAGCACCAGGAAAAGCAAAGCAUAACCAGGGAAGACAAAGCAAACAAAGCAAAGCAAAGCAGUUUGAGGCAAGGCAAAGCACAGCACGGGUAGGAAAAGCAAUGCAAUGCCAGGUCUAUAACCCAAAGCUAAACCAAGGAAAGCAUGGCCUGAUAAAGCAAACGAAAGCAUGGCCAGCGAAGGCAAAGCAGAGCAAGUCAAAGCAGAGCAAAGGAAAGUAGCACAAGGAAAUGCAAAGUAUUUCAAGGAGAGAAAGAGCAAAACACUCUGAGGCAAAGCAGGGGCAAGAACAGCAGAGAAAAGGAGGUAUGGGAAAGCAAAACUGUGCCAGCAAGAGCAAAGCAAAGCAGAGCAAGGCAAAACAAAGAGAAGCAAAGUGAACGUAAGGAGCUGGCGGCCAGCCCUCCUUUGGGUUCCAAAUGCCUGUUGGGGGGAGACCGGAGGGCCCUCAUGUUGUGUGCAGGUGGCGGCCAGGCUUGGACAGUGGCUGUACCCUGAUCGCCCUCUCCCCAGCCUCCUUCACAUCUCCAGGUCCAACGUGACGGUGGGCAAGAACCAUGUCUUGC